GUUAUAUGGUCAAGUGAAGAAGCGCAUACGGUGGAUGCCUUGGCAGUCAGAGGCGAUGAAAGACGUGGUAGCCUGCGAAAAGCUUCGGGGAGUCGGCAAACAGACUUUGAUCCGGAGAUCUCUGAAUGGGGGAACCCACCUAGGAUAACCUAGGUAUCUUGUACUGAAUCCAUAGGUGCAAGAGGCGAACCAGGGGAACUGAAACAUCUAAGUACCCUGAGGAAAAGAAAUCAACCGAGAUUCCCUUAGUAGUGGCGAGCGAACGGGGAUUAGCCCUUAAGCUUCAUUGAUUUUAGCGGAACGCUCUGGAAAGUGCGGCCAUAGUGGGUGAUAGCCCCGUACGCGAAAGGAUCUUUGAAGUGAAAUCGAGUAGGACGGAGCACGAGAAACUUUGUCUGAACAUGGGGGGACCAUCCUCCAAGGCUAAAUACUACUGACUGACCGAUAGUGAACCAGUACCGUGAGGGAAAGGCGAAAAGAACCCCGGAGAGGGGAGUGAAAUAGAACCUGAAACCGUAUGCGUACAAGCAGUGGGAGCCUACUUGUUAGGUGACUGCGUACCUUUUGUAUAAUGGGUCAGCGACUUAUAUUCAGUGGCAAGCUUAACCGUAUAGGGUAGGCGUAGCGAAAGCGAGUCUUAAUAGGGCGUUUAGUCGCUGGGUAUAGACCCGAAACCGGGCGAUCUAUCCAUGAGCAGGUUGAAGGUUAGGUAACACUGACUGGAGGACCGAACCCACUCCCGUUGAAAAGGUAGGGGAUGACUUGUGGAUCGGAGUGAAAGGCUAAUCAAGCUCGGAGAUAGCUGGUUCUCCUCGAAAGCUAUUUAGGUAGCGCCUCAUGUAUCACUCUGGGGGGUAGAGCACUGUUUCGGCUAGGGGGUCAUCCCGACUUACCAAACCGAUGCAAACUCCGAAUACCCAGAAGUGCCGAGCAUGGGAGGCACACGGCGGGUGCUAACGUCCGUCGUGAAAAGGGAAACAACCCAGACCGCCAGCUAAGGUCCCAAAGUUGUGGUUAAGUGGUAAACGAUGUGGGAAGGCUUAGACAGCUAGGAGGUUGGCUUAGAAGCAGCCACCCUUUAAAGAAAGCGUAAUAGCUCACUAGUCGAGUCGGCCUGCGCGGAAGAUGUAACGGGGCUCAAACCACACACCGAAGCUGCGGGUGUCACGUAAGUGACGCGGUAGAGGAGCGUUCUGUAAGCCUGUGAAGGUGAGUUGAGAAGCUUGCUGGAGGUAUCAGAAGUGCGAAUGCUGACAUGAGUAACGACAAUGGGUGUGAAAAACACCCACGCCGAAAGACCAAGGGUUCCUGCGCAACGUUAAUCGACGCAGGGUUAGUCGGUUCCUAAGGCGAGGCUGAAAAGCGUAGUCGAUGGGAAACAGGUUAAUAUUCCUGUACUUCUGGUUACUGCGAUGGAGGGACGGAGAAGGCUAGGCCAGCUUGGCGUUGGUUGUCCAAGUUUAAGGUGGUAGGCUGAAAUCUUAGGUAAAUCCGGGGUUUCAAGGCCGAGAGCUGAUGACGAGUCGUCUUUUAGAUGACGAAGUGGUUGAUGCCAUGCUUCCAAGAAAAGCUUCUAAGCUUCAGGUAACCAGGAACCGUACCCCAAACCGACACAGGUGGUCGGGUAGAGAAUACCAAGGCGCUUGAGAGAACUCGGGUGAAGGAACUAGGCAAAAUGGCACCGUAACUUCGGGAGAAGGUGCGCCGGCUAGGGUGAAGGAUUUACUCCGUAAGCUCUGGCUGGUCGAAGAUACCAGGCCGCUGCGACUGUUUAUUAAAAACACAGCACUCUGCAAACACGAAAGUGGACGUAUAGGGUGUGACGCCUGCCCGGUGCCGGAAGGUUAAUUGAUGGGGUUAGCGCAAGCGAAGCUCUUGAUCGAAGCCCCGGUAAACGGCGGCCGUAACUAUAACGGUCCUAAGGUAGCGAAAUUCCUUGUCGGGUAAGUUCCGACCUGCACGAAUGGCGUAACGAUGGCGGCGCUGUCUCCACCCGAGACUCAGUGAAAUUGAAAUCGCUGUGAAGAUGCAGUGUAUCCGCGGCUAGACGGAAAGACCCCGUGAACCUUUACUGUAGCUUUGCACUGGACUUUGAGCCUGCUUGUGUAGGAUAGGUGGGAGGCUUUGAAGCGUGGACGCCAGUUCGCGUGGAGCCAUCCUUGAAAUACCACCCUGGCAUGCUUGAGGUUCUAACUCUGGUCCGUAAUCCGGAUCGAGGACAGUGUAUGGUGGGCAGUUUGACUGGGGCGGUCUCCUCCUAAAGAGUAACGGAGGAGUACGAAGGUGCGCUCAGACCGGUCGGAAAUCGGUCGCAGAGUAUAAAGGCAAAAGCGCGCUUGACUGCGAGACAGACACGUCGAGCAGGUACGAAAGUAGGUCUUAGUGAUCCGGUGGUUCUGUAUGGAAGGGCCAUCGCUCAACGGAUAAAAGGUACUCCGGGGAUAACAGGCUGAUACCGCCCAAGAGUUCAUAUCGACGGCGGUGUUUGGCACCUCGAUGUCGGCUCAUCACAUCCUGGGGCUGAAGCCGGUCCCAAGGGUAUGGCUGUUCGCCAUUUAAAGUGGUACGCGAGCUGGGUUUAGAACGUCGUGAGACAGUUCGGUCCCUAUCUGCCGUGGACGUUUGAGAUUUGAGAGGGGCUGCUCCUAGUACGAGAGGACCGGAGUGGACGAACCUCUGGUGUUCCGGUUGUCACGCCAGUGGCAUUGCCGGGUAGCUAUGUUCGGAAAAGAUAACCGCUGAAAGCAUCUAAGCGGGAAACUUGCCUCAAGAUGAGAUCUCACUGGGAACUUGAUUCCCCUGAAGGGCCGUCGAAGACUACGACGUUGAUAGGCUGGGUGUGUAAGCGUUGUGAGGCGUUGAGCUAACCAGUACUAAUUGCCCGUGAGGCUUGACCAUAUAACACCCAAACA
rnacentral:rRNA from 1 species